GAUGAACGCUGGCGGCGUGCUUAACACAUGCAAGUCGAACGAAGCACCUUAUUCUGAUUUCUUCGGAAUGAAAAAUUCGGUGACUGAGUGGCGGACGGGUGAGUAACGCGUGGGUAACCUGCCUCAUACAGGGGGAUAACAGUUAGAAAUGACUGCUAAUACCGCAUAAGACCACAGCACCGCAUGGUGCAGGGGUAAAAACUCCGGUGGUAUGAGAUGGACCCGCGUCUGAUUAGGUAGUUGGUGGGGUAACGGCCUACCAAGCCGACGAUCAGUAGCCGACCUGAGAGGGUGACCGGCCACAUUGGGACUGAGACACGGCCCAAACUCCUACGGGAGGCAGCAGUGGGGAAUAUUGCACAAUGGGGGAAACCCUGAUGCAGCGACGCCGCGUGAGCGAUGAAGUAUUUCGGUAUGUAAAGCUCUAUCAGCAGGGAAGAAAAUGACGGUAC
rnacentral:rRNA from 1 species